AUUGAACGCUGGCGGCAGGCCUAACACAUGCAAGUCGAGCGGAUGAAGGGAGCUUGCUCCUGGAUUCAGCGGCGGACGGGUGAGUAAUGCCUAGGAAUCUGCCUGGUAGUGGGGGAUAACGUCCGGAAACGGGCGCUAAUACCGCAUACGUCCUGAGGGAGAAAGUGGGGGAGCUUCGGACCUCACGCUAUCAGAUGAGCCUAGGUCGGAUUAGCUAGUUGGUGGGGUAAAGGCCUACCAAGGCGACGAUCCGUAACUGGUCUGAGAGGAUGAUCAGUCACACUGGAACUGAGACACGGACCUGGCUCCUGCGGGAGGCAGCAGUGGGGAAUAGUGGGCAAUGGGCGAAAGCCUGAUCCAGCCAUGCCGCGUGUGUGAAGAAGGUCUUCGGAUUGUAAAGCACUUUAAGUUGGGAGGAAGGGCAGUAAGUUGAUACCUUGCUGUUUUGACGUUACCAACAGAAUAAGCACCGGCUAACUUCGUG
rnacentral:rRNA from 1 species